UACGUAGGCAGCAAGCGUUGUUCGGAGUUACUGGGCGUAAAGGGUGUGUAGGCGGUUCUUUAAGUUUGCUGUGAAAUCUCCCGGCUUAACCGGGAGGGUGCGGUGAAUACUGAGGGACUAGAGUACGGGAGAGGAAAGUGGAAAUUCCUGGUGUAGCGGUGAAAUGCGUAGAUAUCAGGAGGAACACCGGUGGUGUAGACGGCUUUCUGGACCGUAACUGACGCUGAGACACGAAAGCGUGGGUAGCAAACAGG
rnacentral:rRNA from 1 species